rnacentral:RNase_P_RNA from 1 species
GUAGGGGGAUGCUUGACAACCGGAAAUAAGCCUGCUUAGGCUUUUGUUUAAGCAGCUUAUUGCUGAGGAAAGUCUGCCCAUCGAAGCGAAAGCUGAAAGCGCCACUCAUUGUGUCCUUUUUUAUCCAAAAGGAUAACUCUGAGAUUCAGAAAUGAAUGGCAACCACUCAGAAACGAGACCACCAUGGAAAUGGGAUGAUAUGGCGAAGUUCUCUGCGAGGAGAAUGAGCAUUUGAGGAAACUCAAAGUUCAUCAAAAAUGAGAAAUCAUUAUGAUGAAUAAAUCCAUUGACGUCUUCCAAGGAAUGGAUGAAACGGUGAGCCCUGGCUGAUGCAAGUACCUUUGUGUACGCUUAGUAGAAUGUCAAGGCACCAGUUUGUUGUUCGUCAACAUUGGUGAACAGAAGGCAGCUUACAGUCCCUCUAC